GUGAAUCAUCAAAUCUUUGAACGCAAAUUGCACUCUCUGGGAUUCCGGAGAGUAUGCCUGUGUGAGGGUCAGUUAAAUUAACAAUCUGGGUGGUUGCUGCCUUUCGUGGUGACGCACCGGAUUUGGGUAGUCUUGCCUUCGGUUAAGUGACCUAAAUUUUUUCAUGAUUUUUAUCGAACGUAUUUAAAUUAUUUUACUUACGCUUGCGAUAUCUAAUACUAGGUGUGGUCAUCCUCAUGAUUCGCGCCUAUAAUUUUUCAACAA
rnacentral:misc_RNA from 1 species